AUUGAACGCUGGCGGCAGGCCUAACACAUGCAAGUCGAACGAGUGGCGGACGGGUGAGUAAUGUCUGGGAAACUGCCCGCUGGAGGGGGAUAACUACUGGAAACGGUCGCUAAUACAGCAUACCAUCAGAUGUGCCCAGAUGGGAUUAGCUAGUAGGUGGGGGAAUGGCUCACCUAGGCGACGAUCCCUAGCUGGUCUGAGAGGAUGACCAGCCAACCUGGAACUGAGACACGGUCCAGACUCCUACGUGAGGCAGCAGUGGGGAAUAUUGCACAAUGGACGCAAGCCUGAUGCAGCCAUGCCGCGUGUGUGAAGAAGGCCUUCGGGUUGUAAAGCACUUUCAGCGGGGAGGCGUGACCCGCAGAAGAAGCACCGGCUAACUCCGUGCCAGAGCCGCGGUAAUUC
rnacentral:rRNA from 1 species